rnacentral:misc_RNA from 1 species
GAUGAAGAACGUAGCGAAAUGCGAUAAGUAAUGUGAAUUGCAGAAUUCAGUGAAUCAUCGAAUCUUUGAACGCACAUUGCGCCCCUUGGUAUUCCGAGGGGCAUGCCUGUUCGAGCGUCAUUAUAACCCCUCAAGCUCAGCUUGGUGUUGGGGCCUGCUGCACUGGCAGCCCUUAAAAUCAGUGGCGGCGCAAUCUGGCUCUAAGCGUAGUAAUUCUUCUCGCUAUGGAGUCCUGGUGGAUGCUUGCCAUCAACCCCCAAUUUUUCUAUGGUUGACCUCGGAUCAGGUAGGGAUACCCGCUGAACUUAAGCAUAUCAAUAAGCGGAGGA